CACGGUACGAUACGUGUCAGACACACUAAAAUCCGUGUCCAAUUUUUUUAAAAAAAAAAAACGUUGCAUGGACACGGACCGUGUCCCCCAUAGACACGGCCCGUUUGGGGGUGGACACGCCAAUUUCGUAUUUCCCUCAAACCAUACUACUCAAUUGCUCAAACCCUACUGCUCAAUUUCUCUCGUCUCUCAAACACCAACAACUGCAAUCCUCAGCCUCACUGCAACCCAGAUCGUCGCCGACUGCCGCCGCUCGCCACCGGCUGGCCGCCGCUCGUCACCACUCACACCGGUCUCGCAGGUAUCAUUCUCCGUCCUCUCUUUCUCGAAUUUAACGGAAACCCCCUUUAAUCCUCUCCCGUCGCUCGUCGCCACCAGCCACCGUCGCUCGUCACCCUCGCUCGUCACCCCGACGUCUCAGUUGUUUGCUGCCGUGCUGGGUGGGCCUCUGACCGUCGUCGCCGUCGCUCGUCACCUGCCUUUGCUGGUCAUUGCCGUUGCACUCAGAGUAGCUGAAACCACUACAAGAUGUUAAGUAUAACUCUUAAGGAAUUUGAUUGUGUUGUUUGAGCUGAACUGGAAAUGUUUGAUUUGCUGAAAAUGUGUUGUAUAACUAUUAGUACUUAUGUUUAUUUUAUUUAUGAUUUGUAAAACUAUUAUUAAGACAUGUAUUUGGUUUGAUGUUUCUUCCUAUGUAUGCGACUAUGUUCGUACACUUUAUUUAUUUACUUUGUUUAAACAGAUUUGUGUGUUCUGAGGCUAAAUUUUUAGUGUUUUAUUGAACAAGUUGUCAAAUUCUCGUUUUUUGGAUAUAUUAUAUGCCUUGUUAUACGCCGUACCCAUGUCCCCUAUUUCAGGAUUGCCGUUUUCCCGUGUCCGUAUCGUGUCCGUGUUCGUGUCUGUAUCCGUAUCCGUGCAACAUAGACUACCAUAGUGUAUAAAUACCCCAAAAGUAGUAUAGAUGUCUGAAUUAUUACAAUAGAUGGCCUAUGAUGUAAGAAAAAUUAUGAUGAUACCAAUGAAAAAUGCAUUCAGAUAAAAUUGUCAAAAUAGCAUGCAAAUUAAAAUUGUACAGUGUCUUGCAUUAUUUUGAGUCCUAUGUAUGUUCAUAUGCAUGUGUGAGCCUAGGUUAAUGUAUUAUUCAUUGCGUAUAUCGAAAGUUGUUAGAUGCAUUACUCAUUGUAUAUUUUGUUUUCUAUAUCUCAUAUUGCUGCAUUAGUUUCUAUAUAAUAAUUGUGGUAUAUGUGAAUAUUCGUUCAAAAAUAUAGUAAGGCGUAUUUGUAACUUUGAUGGAAAAUUACAAAGAAAUAUAUAUAUUCCAAUGGGCUUAUAGUUGUGAUGAAAUUAUUGAUGACGUCGAGUUUAUAGCAUGUUAUGAAUCAUGUAAGAAGAGUUCCGGAAGAACUUAUGUACGACGUAUUUAUAUAUCUAGCCCUACAAAUUUUAUAUUUUGAAUAUUUUAAUUAUAUCAAACUUUUGGUCUGUGUGACUAUAUUAUUGACAUCUCAACCUGAAGUUUGAGCAUAUGAGAAUUAGUGAGAUCGAGAAUUACUAUUUGUAUUUGCAUGAGAAUUAUCGUGUCAUUUAUGAAACUUCUGAUAUAAAGAAUAUCAACGGGAUACUUAUGCGUGAGACUGUUUUCUUAUGGUCCAGAAGAACCAUGAUCAAUGUAUAUAA